rnacentral:ncRNA from 1 species
ACCAUCUGUUGGAUUAUGACUGAACGCCUCUAAGUCAGAAUCCGUGCUAGAACGCAACGAUAAUUACCUCCGGAGAAUCUUAGGCGAACAAGGAUAGAGAACGGGCUUGCCCGCUCUCNUGCGUCCCAAUGUGCCAAGAGGGACAACAACCCUCAAGGCACUAAACUAUAUCAAAGUUUAAAAUUUCUGGAGAUAAAUCCUUUGCAGACGACUUAAAUAAAGAACGGGGUAUUGUACGUUGUAGAGUAGCCUUGUUGCUACGAUCUUCUGAGAUUAAGCCUUUGUUCUACGAUUUGU